rnacentral:sRNA from 2 species
CGUGCGCGUGCGCCGAAUCCCGCGAGGGAACCGGGGAACCACCUUUUGGGGUGAAUCGGGCUUCAUCCGCCGUGCAGUUCGCGGUGGAGGCCGCCCGUAGGAGACCUUCCUGCUCCGAACCCGUCAGCUAACCCGGUAGGCGAGAAGGAAGGAAAGG